GCUUAUGGACAUAUCACAUUGAAUGCACCAGUUCUCGUCCGACCAUCAAAGUUAAGCAAUGUUGAGCCUAGUGAGUACUUAGAUGAGUGACCGCUUGGGAAACCUAGGUGCUAUAAGCA
rnacentral:rRNA from 1 species